GUAGGUGGCAAGCGUUGUCCGGAAUUAUUGGGCGUAAAGCGCGCGCAGGCGGUUCUUUAAGUCUGAUGUGAAAGCCCACGGCUCAACCGUGGAGGGUCAUUGGAAACUGAGAACUUGAGUACAGAAGAGGAAAGCGGAAUUCCACGUGUAGCGGUGAAAUGCGUAGAGAUGUGGAGGAACACCAGUGGCGAAGGCGGCUUUCUGGUCUGUAACUGACGCUGAGGCGCGAAAGCGUGGGGAGCAAACAGGGAUUAGAUACCCUGGUAGUCCACGCCGUAAACGAUGAGUGCUAAGUGUUAGGGGGGUUUCCGCCCCCUUAGUGCUGCAGCUAACGCAUUAAGCACUCCGCCUGGGGAGUACGGCCGCAAGGCUG
rnacentral:rRNA from 1 species